CCUACGGGAGGCAGCAGUGAGGAAUAUUGGACAAUGGGCGCAAGCCUGAUCCAGCCAUGCCGCGUGCAGGAUGACGGUCCUAUGGAUUGUAAACUGCUUUUGCACAGGAAGAAACAACGCUACGUGUAGCGUCUUGACGGUACUGUGAGAAUAAGGAUCGGCUAACUCCGUGCCAGCAGCCGCGGUAAUACGGAGGAUCCAAGCGUUAUCCGGAAUCAUUGGGUUUAAAGGGUCCGUAGGCGGUUUAGUAAGUCAGUGGUGAAAGCCCAUCGCUCAACGGUGGAACGGCCAUUGAUACUGCUAGACUUGAAUUAUUAGGAAGUAACUAGAAUAUGUAGUGUAGCGGUGAAAUGCUUAGAGAUUACAUGGAAUACCAAUUGCGAAGGCAGGUUACUACUAAUAUAUUGACGCUGAUGGACGAAAGCGUGGGUAGCGAACAGGAUUAGAUACCCUGGUAGUCCACGCCGUAAACGAUGGAUACUAGCUGUUGGGGGCAACUUCAGUGGCUAAGCGAAAGUGAUAAGUAUCCCACCUGGGGAGUACGUUCGCAAGAAGAGAACGUACAAUAGUAAGUUAGUACGGACGUAGAGACGUUAGCCGACGGACGACGACGAGGGAGGAGGG
rnacentral:rRNA from 1 species